GAUUAUUUAAAUAGCUGCAGUAUUUUGACUGUACAAAGGUAGCAUAAUCAUUAGUUUCUUAAUUGGAAACUUGUAUGAAUGGCUUUAUGAGAAAUAAGCUGUCUCUUAUUGAUUUUUAUAUAAUUUUAUUUUAGGUUAAAAAGCCUAAAUUUUUAUUAAAGACGAGAAGACCCUAUAGAGUUUGAUAUAUAAAUGGUUUUAAAUUUUUAGGAAUUGAUUUUUUUUAAUUUUUUAUUUAUUUGGUUGGGGUGACUGAAAAAUUGAUGUAACUUUUUUUAAUUUUUUCCAUUAAUUUAUGUUUUUUUGAUCCUUUGUUUUGAUUAUAAGAUUAAAUUACCUUAGGGAUAACAGCGUAAUUUUUUUGGAGAGUUCUUAUCGAUAAAAAAGUUUGCGACCUCGAUGUUGGAUUAAAAUUAAUAGUUGGCGAAGAAGUUGAUUAAUUAAGUCUGUUCGACUUUUGAAAUUUUACAUGAUCUGAGUUUAAACCGGUGUGAGCCAGGUUGGUUUCUAUCUUAAUUUAUUUAAUACAUUUUAGUACGAAAGGACCGGGUGUAGUUAAAAUUUAUUUUUUUAUGAGUAAGAUUAAUUACUUUGGCAGAUUAGUGCAUUAAAUUUAGAAUUUAAUUAUGUAUUUUUGAUACAGGUAAUACUUGAUUUUGAAAGAUUUGAUUUUGGUUUUUAUUAGAGGAUU
rnacentral:rRNA from 1 species